AUCUCUCUUUUCCUUCAGACGGCGACGGCAGAGGUAGCGAGCGUGGCGAGGUGGCGGCGGCGGCGAGGCGAGACAGCGGCGGAGGAGGCGAGGGGGCGGAGAGGCGAACGCGGCGGCGAGGCGAGUGGUGGGGGCGGAGGAGGCGAGGCGUAGAAGUCCAGCGACAGCUCGUGCCACACCGGCGGGCGCCUAUUUCAUCUGCCGGCAGCAGCGCCCACGCCCGCGCCACCCCGCCCUCCUUCCGCCGCUGCCACCACCUCCUCUUCCUCAGAAGGAGAGCUGAUCGAUGCUCUCGCGGUCUCUCCUCCCAGAGCUCUUGAGAAUCAUGGAUGAUUCCAUGGAUUCUAGUCGUCCUCGCCGACGGUGGCAGUCCGACGGACUAGCUAGGCCAGGAUAAUUCAGGAUGGUGCCAGGUUAACGGGGCUUACAGGGGGUCGAAUUUGCCGUCGAUUCAGUUUGAUACUUGUCGGAUCUUGAGCUAUCUCUGGUAGUUUCUUGCAAACAUCACAAGUUCAGGAAAGGAAUUGAGAUCGGAGGCUCGCUUAUAUCAGUCACUUUUAACGUGGUGGCAAGUUUGGGGACAAUGGAUGCGACUGUCUUGAUCAAUGCGUCGGGGUCCUGCAUCCACGGCCAGGUUCUUCCUCUAAUCCUCUCCUCGUACCACUUGCCAUGGCCUCUGCGAGAUCAGCAACGGCCUGGUCGAGGCGGCGAUGAAACGCGGGCGCGAUUUUGGCGUGCUUCGCGAGGGCAUCCCCUCGCUCCCAUGGCUCGACGGAGCGCGGAGCGGCGGAUGAGUGACGACAUCCAGCCACGCCGGCAGCGGCUGCGCCUCCCGAGCGCGGCAAGUCGGCGCCACAGCGGCCGCUAGCAGGAAGCCGAGCAGCAGGAGUAGCCGCCAUCCGCGCGCGGGGCGUGGACAUGGGGGUCAUCGCCGCCGACGGGGAGCAGCGUGGGCGGGCAGGAGAGCAAGGCGGCGCAGUGGCGCCCGUCGAAGGUGCGCCCGUGGAGCACGGCGGCGACCGACGCGGCCGCUUCGGGGCGGAGGAAGUCGGCGCGGCAGAAGCCGCGGCCAUGGCAGAGAGGCGGGCGGCGGUGCUCGCCGUCGUGGCGCCAGCCGCCGCCACGGGCGAGGUCCGCCUGGACCACCGCCACAGCGGCCUCACACUGCCGUCCGGUUCCCCCUCCUCUUCUCACGCCGCGCGCCGCCGUGCAUCCUCCGCCGACGAGAGAGAGAUUAGGAAGAGAGAAACAGGGGGUAUGACAUGUGGGUCCCACCAUUUAAAAAAUAAAAUGCUGACUACACUGCCACGCGUACGCCACGUAGAUCAAAACCACCGCGGAUUGGAUCGAGGGGGGUAAUUCGUCCGGUUUGCAUAGUUGAGGGUGAAGAAUAUCCGGUUUUGUGGUUCAGGGGUAAUUCGGACGACCAUGAUAAUUUUGGGGGGAGUAAUUCGUACUUUUUCCUUUCUUAUAUUGUGCUAACAUUAUAACAUUUUUUAUUGGACUACUCGGUCUAAUAAAACCAUUUUUCACAUAUACUUGUAUUCAAUUAACUGCCAGCUCGAUACUCUUGCAAAUAGCUAAUUAAGAAUUUAAUGUGUUGAUUAAUAUAAUAUAGCUUUAACUAUAUGUUGUCAAUUCAUUAAAUAAAGUUGUUAAUCAUUUGACCGUCAUGUCUUUGUCGUAUCAAACUAAUUGAUCGAUGGAAUCGGUUAAAACUGCUUAUCUUUAUUCCUAUACAUUGUUAUAUCUAGGGUUUUCUAUUUCGGUAAGUGAACGUGGAUCAAAUUAAAACCUUAGCUUAGAAAGGAAUGCAUACAUAUAUUUAGACGCUUAGGGUGCGUGCACCAAAUUAGCUCUCUCUUCCCAUAGGUUUUGAAAGCAACAAUUAUAUGCCACACAUUAUAUGGUGAAAAGGUAGCUAGCCGCACAAGAUAAACAGCGAACCUACUAGUUAGGCUAGCUUUAUGGGGGGUGAUUAUUACAUUGUGAGAUUGGCUAAGAAAUAUCAAGUCUGUCAUCUCCCGCUGCAUGCCGCGUGCGUUCCUGUUAAUCUUUUCACUUUGGCUACAUGCUUUAAUUUCUAGUACUGUUUUAAUUUUAUAGAAUACAAUUUAAGUUUCCUUUCUGAUCGAUCAGGAUCAAAUCGAUUUUUUUUUUCAGAUUUUUCUCUAUUACCUCCAGAUCUACGCCGCCCUGCUUCCCCUCCUCGAUGAAGCGUCGGAUCCGCGAUUUCUCCUUCCCGUUGUCGGCGCAGCGCCACAGGAUACGGAGGGACCCAUCUCUGCCGGCUCAUCCUCCGCCUAGCCCCCCCCCCCCCACAGGUCUCGUGGCCGCCUACGCCCACCACAACACCGGGAGCCAGAGUCCUGCCUCCACCAGCGCCGUCGCCGCCGCCACCGACUGAUGUUCAUCGCAAGGAAGAAGACACGAGAAGAAGGAAGAAGACGGAAAAAGGAAUCAGAUGGAUGGAAAAUAUGACGGCGGUGGCACGGUUCUAAUUUUGUAAAAUUUUAAUGACAUAACUACGAAUAGAUGAAUUGUUGACAUUUUUUAGAAUGGGUAAAUUUACAAUGGCAUGGAUUCAAUUAACCCUAGAAAAUACUAAUCCUUGCUAGUUUUUGAAUCGGUAGUCUGCACGUGGUGGUGAUGGGGCACAUCACUACCGGUUUUCAAACUAGCCAAGAUGAAAAUAUCCCUGGCGGUUUGUUC